rnacentral:rRNA from 1 species
GCUUCAAUUGCCGGCGACCGGCGCACGGGUGAGUAACGCGUAUCCAACCUUCCGUACACUCAGGGAUAGCCUUUCGAAAGAAAGAUUAAUACCUGAUGGUAUGAUGAGAUUGCAUGAUAGCAUCAUUAAAGAUUUAUCGGUGUACGAUGGGGAUGCGUUCCAUUAGGUAGUAGGCGGGGUAACGGCCCACCUAGCCAACGAUGGAUAGGGGUUCUGAGAGGAAGGUCCCCCACAUUGGAACUGAGACACGGUCCAAACUCCUACGGGAGGCAGCAGUGAGGAAUAUUGGUCAAUGGACGAGAGUCUGAACCAGCCAAGUAGCGUGAAGGAUGAAGGUCCUACGGAUUGUAAACUUCUUUUAUAAGGGAAUAAACCCUCCCACGUGUGGGAGCUUGUAUGUACCUUAUGAAUAAGCAUCGGCUAACUCCGUGCCAGCAGCCGCGGUAAUACGGAGGAUGCGAGCGUUAUCCGGAUUUAUUGGGUUUAAAGGGAGCGCAGACGGGUCGUUAAGUCAGCUGUGAAAGUUUGGGGCUCAACCUUAAAAUUGCAGUUGAUACUGGCGUCCUUGAGUGCGGUUGAGGUGUGCGGAAUUCGUGGUGUAGCGGUGAAAUGCUUAGAUAUCACGAAGAACUCCGAUUGCGAAGGCAGCACACUAAUCCGUAACUGACGUUCAUGCUCGAAAGUGUGGGUAUCAAACAGGAUUAGAUACCCUGGUAGUCCACACGGUAAACGAUGGAUAC